rnacentral:rRNA from 1 species
AGCGAACGCUGGCGGCAGGCCUAACACAUGCAAGUCGAACGAAGCCUUCGGGCUUAGUGGCGGACGGGUGAGUAACACGUGGGAACGUACCUUUUGGUUCGGAACAACUCAGGGAAACUUGAGCUAAUACCGGAUGAGCCCUUAGGGGGAAAGAUUUAUCGCCGAAAGAGCGGCCCGCGUUAGAUUAGCUAGUUGGUGAGGUAAAGGCUCACCAAGGCUACGAUCUAUAGCUGGUCUGAGAGGAUGAUCAGCCACACUGGGACUGAGACACGGCCCAGACUCCUACGGGAGGCAGCAGUGGGGAAUCUUGCGCAAUGGGCGAAAGCCUGACGCAGCCAUGCUGCGUGAAUGAUGAAGGUCUUAGGAUUGUAAAAUUCUUUUACCAGGGACGAUAAUGACGGUACCUGGAGAAAAAGCCCCGGCUAACUUCGUGCCAGCCGCCGCCGUAA